AUCCCAGGACUGGACAAAUAAUCGGCCCAGGCAUUUUGAGCCGAGACCGACACAGAUGUUUUAUCCCGAAGUUACGGAGCGAGACGGUUGUUCAGCUUAUUGUUGAUGCAGACAUAGUUAGAACCUGGACAGAUGCGUCACUGAUUCCCAGAGUCGACCAAACUCCAGAUUCAAAGAACGGGACAGACGUUGAUCUUGGUGGUCAUUCACAUGUACCGCUUGUGAUUGCCGUGGUUGUUGUCAUUGUAAUCUUCGCAGCUCUUGGCGUUUAUCAUUUCAUAAAACGGCGUCACAAAGAGACUGUCAAGUAUAAAGCUUCCCCAAACACGAUGCAACCAGCCUGAGAGCCUGGCUUAAAAAAAAGUGUUAAUGGACAUGAGAGAAGGACCAACAGGAGCAAGAUCACCUCCCGCUGACAUAAACCAAGUCCAACCUGAAGACGCUGUUGACGGCAACCAGGACGAUCUUGAAGAAGAAUCAAUUAAUUGCCAAACGUCUGAAGAGCUUCUCAGAUGCCCAAAAAUCCACAAAACCUCAGGUUGGAAAAUCUCAGUCUGGACUCUCUCCACUGGGAACGGAUUCUGCUGGACCAAUCAGAUCGCUCGGGGGCGUGGUUUAACAGUGGUCAUACACGUCACCUGAGAAAUUGACAGGAAAUGACUUAAAAGGACGAAAAGCUGACAGUUGUGCACAGAAAUAGUUCUGUGGCUCUGAUUGGUUGAAGGACUGUCCAGUGGCUCUGAGACGUCUCGGCCAUCGACCACUGGACAUUCAAAUCAAGUUCAGCUUGAAGAAUAAUUCAUUAAUGUCUCUCAGCCAAAAACACUGUACAAGAUAUUUUCCAUGUGGAGCGACUGGAACUACUACUGACUACAUUGUUGUAGUUUCAUUUUAAAUUAUAUUUAUUUAUUUCUAAAGAAUGGACUUGUCAGAAAAGUCCACGAUAGAUUACAUUCCUGUCUUGGUCACAACCUGCUGGAAAAGCACUAAAUAAAAAGCCGGGUACUUUUACACUGUAUUUAAGAUACUUUCCUUUUGUGAUUUGAUGUCACCAUAGGAAUUUAUUUUUUUAUUUUUUCUGUUGGCGUCUGUCUUUAACUUGGACAGAUUUGUGAGUGACGGCUCAGAUUGAACCUGUGCCAGUUUUAGGAUCUUUUAAAAUGUGACGGGUUUUAUGGCACUUCAGGUAAAGAUUUUGUUUCAUUAAACUCUGAUUUACUAAAAUAUUUAAGUUUGUUUAAAGGUGCAGCUGGUAGUUGAAAGACACUUUAGAGGUCAGUUUACAUGACCUCAGUAGCAGAUGAAGUUUUACAAGUAAAAAUAAAAGGAGAAGGAACACGG